CCAGGAGGGAGAGAUGAGGGGAGGGGGAGAGGAGAGACCUGACAGAGGGAGAACGUGGCCAAAAAGGAGAGGGAGGCAGGAGAGAAGAUGGGAACCGUUGGGCUCUCUCCAUUCAACCACGGUUCUGUUGGGAAGAUGACCUGAACAAGUCAUCACAAACGUAACCAAGCAGAGUUAGGUGGACCAGCAUAUUUCUAUCUUGGGAAAUGGCUUGAGUCCAUAAAGCUAAUUUGAAAUCUCAGAAGGAUACACGAUCCUGAAAAGACUGAGGACUGUCCCUCUAAAUCGGGAAAGAGCCUACACUCCAGGAGGUGUGCGUGAUGAUUCAGUGAAGAAAGCGAAACUUGAAGGAUCUGCUACCAAUGGCUGAAAAACCUCAACAUGGUUUCCUUGUCAAUCACUGGAAUGGGGAAAUGAAAGGGAAGCUACACAGUUAAAGAACAAAACCCCACAACCCCUCCCACUCGCUCCCCUUUGAUUCCCACCAAAGUAGAGGAAGCUGUAUGGAGGGAAUAAGCCAACCCAGGUCUUAGAGAGACUGUCUGGCCUCCUCCCUGGACUGUCACAUAAUCAAUGGGCAGCAACCUACCACGUCAUGACUUCGUGGUCAGAUUGGCAUGAGAUACAACAUGGGUGAGCAAAGAGGUGAGACUGAAGGACACUUUCUGUUGAGGAAAAAUGAGUUACAAGCUGAAAUCGUUAGUCUUUUUUCUGAAAUCGUUAGGCUUUCUUUCAAUGUUGUUACGUGGCCGGAUUCGCACCCUGGCCAGUCUCUUAUGUGGGCAGGUGGGGUGGAGUCCUCUCAUUCUUAUUAUACUUCUGUGGUGGGAGAUUCUUUCACUGUUGGUUCCUCAUAAUUUUUCAGUGCUUUGCUAUAAUUUUACAUAAAGUCGUAAAUACCAUAGACUCCUCUUAUCGGCGUAGCAUGAACCUGUACCUGAAUUAUUGCAAGUUCAGAAAAGUGUUAGGAGUAUAUAGAUUUGAAAUGCCUAUGUACAAAACAACGUAUCACAAUGUUUUCAAUACUCAUUUGUCUUUUCCUUGAGCCCUUUGAUUUUCUCCCAUCAUAAAAUACUUUUAACUGCGUAAA